rnacentral:lncRNA from 1 species
GUAGCCUCUGGUCCUUUUGUUACUUGGGUGUGGAUAGUUAGGGUUUUCCUUUUGAUUUAGUUCUAGAAAGUCAGAGUGAAUCAGCUUUAGGUUCCCUGCCUCCAGGCCCUAUUCUCCUGCCUCAAUUUCUGACCUGUGCUUCUGUGACCUGGCCCUGAAAGAGCCACCAGCUCUCUCCAGCUCAGCAGAUGAUCCAGUCUUCACUGGUAGAACUGCCUUGGCUUUAAAUUCGAAGCAUGGUUGGAGCUUAACAAAUGAUAGAAAAAAAUAUGGAGAAUUGAAUUGAUGGGUGAAUAACAUUUGGAGAACAAGCAUAACCACACUGGCCUCAGCUCUCAAAUAUUAAGGAAGCUAAGGGGAGCUCAUCAUUCCUUCCUAAAGUCAGAUUACCCUGAUUCUGUAGAUAUGGAAUCCUGUGGUUAUGCCUCCUCACAAGUGAUGUAAAUUUACAGUUGUUAUGAGAUGACCCUGCAUGUUCUCAAGCAAAUGACAGUAAAGAGGAUGAUAAUGAGUGAAUGAAAUAAAGAGAAGUAGGAGAAAGAAAUGGGCAAUAAAAAAUAGCUUUUAAUGAGCACAUACUCUGUGCCAGGCACUGUGCUAAACACUAGCACACAGCAGCACACUCAAUCCUUACAAUAAUCUUAUAUAGUAGUGAUAUUACCCCUAAUUUACAGGUGAUGAAACUGUAGUGGAGUCAGAAUUUGGUUCCAAACCUGCACUCCUAACCCCUUUGUUAAGCUCCUUUCCCCAUAGGAGGCGAAUUCUCUACUCUUAGGCUUUCACACUCAUUUGGCUUCAAGAAGUAGUGGCUAGGUUGGCCAUCCCCUAUCAUUGUCAUAUGUAAUGUUUUUACCAACAAUACUCUUUGAUGCUAGGGCGCAUCUGUGUAAUCCCUUGCAAAGUUGAAAAACUGAGUUCAUCAACUAGGGCAAGUAAUUUCAGCUCACAUGUCCUGGGAAAAUAACUGGACUUGGAUCUAGUUCCUGCCCUGACCAUGUGGCCUUGAAAACCACUCACCUGCUCUGAGUCUGCUCUCUAGCAUUCCAUGUCUCCAUAGUGUUGUUCAAAAAUUAAAGGAGCCAUUGGCGUAGAAGCACUCUAUGAACUGUAAGGACUACAAAAAUAAAAAUUAUUUCUAUGUCAUAAAAGAAGUUCAACUCCUUUUUUUCCGCUGAAUUCACUAAUUACGUAAAAGUCAUGGAGACAAGAUCUUCCAUGGCUGGAUUCAUUCCAACAACAACAGAUUCCACAAACAUCCAGUAAGGUCCUCACAUGAGCCAGGUGCUUUUAUAGUUUAUUUUCUUUUUUCAAAGACAAGAAACAAUAUGUUUAUGACCAAGUAACUUCUGCAUCUUCUCAUAUUUUGGCAGGUAUUAUACCUGCUGAGGAUUAAAUACCUCGAGCUGGACUUGGAUAGGUCAGUUAAUUGGGAUUCAGACACCCUGGUUUGAUUCCACAAACAACAAGUUGUCCUCCACUUCCUUGGCUCACAAAUGUGCACACAUCUGUGUGGCCCAUGGGGCAAGGUCAAAGUGUUUUUUCCUGGAGGCCAUUUUGUCACAUGUAGUCCUUGUGUGAUAUGUAUGCCACAGAUGUAUUAGUGAGAUUUCAGCACGUGAGGAUCACAGCUAAUGGGAAGUCCUCGCAUUUCAUAGUCUGGCAGGCCUGGGUCUAAAUCCUGCUUCUUUGGCGCCAUUCAUUGUGUGUGACCCCAAGGCAAAUCACGCCAUCUCUACACAUGCAUUGUAUCACCUGUCUUCUACCAGAUCUUCCUAUGGUGUGCACCAUUUCCUUUGGGCUCUGUCAUCACUCCGUGACAACCAGGUUAUCUGAGAGAAUAAUUUCUGCUAAUGUGCCAAGAGAAUAUAUGUGCCUGUUGGGUUCCUUCUGGAGAAGAUGGUAUUUUUAAGUAUGGAUGACCAAGGACUGGGAUUCUAAAGGGGCUGGACAAGAUUAGUCAAGUAACUGUAAGCCAACUGAAAUGAAUUUGAAUGAAAGAAGGAGUUAAUUGGCUUAUGUGACUGGGAAGGGUGGGGGUGGGGUGGCUGGAGGAACCCCGUCGGGACCUGCACUGACUCCCAUCACAGCUCUGCCGGUGUGUUGUCACAGUUCUUAUGAGCUUUUCCACUUCGCUGGGGCCAGAGCUAUACUUCCAGGACCACACAUCCUUAUAGCUCCCAUCAAGAGAAAAGAUGUCUCUUU